rnacentral:tRNA from 1 species
GUUUUUAUAGUUUAAUAUUAAAACAUCGAUUUUGUAUAUCGAAAAUAUUUUAAGAAUUUAAAAACU